rnacentral:rRNA from 1 species
UACGAGUGCCCCAAGCGUUUAUCCGGAAUUAUUGGGCGUAAAGGGUGUGUAGGUGGUCUAGUUAGUCUCAUGUCAAAAUUCUUCGGCUUAACCGGGGUACCGCAUGGGAUACGGCUAGACUAGAGGAUGCGAGGGGUGAAUGGAACUCAUGGAGUAGGGGUGAAAUCCGUUGAUAUCAUGGGGAACACCAAAAGCGAAGGCAGUUCACUGGCGCACUCCUGACACUGAAACACGAAAAGCGUGGGUAGCGAAGUGGG